AACGAACGCUGGCGGCAGGCUUAACACAUGCAAGUCGAACGCUCCGCAAGGAGAGUGGCAGACGGGUGAGUAACGCGUGGGAAUCUACCCAGAUCUACGGAACAACAGUUGGAAACGACUGCUAAUACCGUAUACGCCCUACGGGGGAAAGAUUUAUCGGAAUUAGAUGAGCCCGCGUAAGAUUAGCUAGUUGGUGGGGU
rnacentral:rRNA from 1 species